ensembl:lncRNA
AGCGCCAGAGUAAAGCCAGGAAUGUCCGCUGUUUCCAGCUCUACUCAGCCACGUGUGGAAUUUCACAUUCAGUUAUGAGCACCACAGUCUAGAUGGACAUGGAUAAACUUAGAAACGUCCAGAGGAUGGUAAUCAAGUUGAAGAAGGGUCCUGAGCCCACAUCAGAUGAGAAUCAAUAGAAGGAACUUGGGAGAUUUAUCCUGGACAAAACUCAAGGGGGACAUGCCUUCAAGUAUUUGAAGAGCUGAGUACUGGAACAAGGAUUAGCUUUGUUUAGCUUGGCGCCAAAGGAUACAAUAAGGAGCAACAGAUGGGAGUUGUGGAAAGUCACAUUUAGGCUCAGUGUUAAAGAGGAGUCAGCCUAGAGUGAACUAGGCCAUCUUCCAUCUCCCUCCUUCCCCAAAGGUUGGGAAUUAAAGGGAUAAACAAUCAUGUGUUUUCAACAGUGUAGAGGGAAUUUUUGUUCAGAUAUAGGCUGCAGUUCCUUUUCAGCUCGGAGAUUCUGUGAUUUAUAUUCUCUCUCCUUCUAUAUUUAUGUCCAAAUUCAAGAUAUUGUUGUAGAAAAAAAUGUCAGAAAGUAUCCAAAUCCAGUAAAGGAGUCAAAUUUUUUCCCUUCCCUUCCCUUCCCUUUCCUUCCCUUCUCAUCUCUCUUUUCCCCCUCUUCUUUCUCUCCUAUCUUCUUUUUCUCUUCUCAUCUCAUUUCAACUUGUUUCAUCAUUUCAUCUAGUCAUCCUGCUCAUCAUCUCAUCUCAUUUUUUUUUAUUUGAUCUUUUCUCAUCACUUCUCAUCUUGUCGCAUUUUAAUCUAACAUCUCCCAGGGUGAGAACUGAUAUUAACUUUUAACUUCUAGCUCACUGAAAACCCUGCUGUAUGAAGCUCUCUGGUGCAAUCACACUUGAAACUGAAGAACUCUUUAUCUUGGGCCAAAUUUAUGGCCCAUCUUCAGAUAUGGGGCCUACUAAAACUGAGGGGAAGGCCCACCCAAGUGACUCCAAACGUUUACCUCUUUAGAAUAGUAUGUACCUAAUGAAAAGAGGAAACUUGUGGAUGUCUUUGAAUGAGAUUAUAUAAAUAGUAAUGAACUUAAUUUAUUCUUCUGGCUUGCCAGAAACCUAUUGAAUAAAAAUAUGCAAAGGCAUGGUUGACCCCAGACUCUUCUGCUUGGGGAAACCAAUUGGGAAUCAAGGUUCCUUCUUGAGAGCAGAUGUGGAACUCCAAGCUCACCAGCAGUGCACCCCCAUCGAGAAGAGACCAACAAGUAUGGCUCUGUCAGGGAAUCAUCAUUGGCUUUUUGGAAAGCUAGAAGUUAAUUCAUUCAGCAUUUAAUAAGCAGGGCUUGAGGAAAAUGGGCUCUGGGCUAGGGAGAGUGGGUUUUAAUUUUUCUCUUAAUUUUAUUUUUUAAUUAUUAAAAUUUCUUUUUUUCUCCCUUACUGUGUUACCCAUUCAAAUAAAACCUUUAUCAUUUAUAUGCCUGGUCAAGCAAAGCAAAUGUCCUCAUCGGCCCUGGAAAAAUGGAUGUCUCAUCCUGCAUCUUGAAUCCAUCCCCUCAUUGUCACUCCUCUGGAAUCCCAGGUGGCCAUACCACUGAUGAGAGACUGACAUAGAGUCCAUCUUAGCAUCAGUCACUCUGAAAAUAAAACUGAGAAAUGCCAUCCCCCCUUUCCCCGCUGAUCAGCUGGGAUGGACUUGGCUCUUCUCAUCAACGCAGAGAUUCAAGGCAAUUCUGAUAUUCCUGGGCUGGAAAACGCCAUCCGUAUCCAGAGAGAACAAUGGAGCCUGAAUGGGGAUCAAAGCCGAGUAUGUUCUUCACCUCUUUUUGUUUGCUUUUUCUUUCUUGUGUUUGUUUCCCUUUCGGGGCUUUUUCUUGCACCACAUGGCAAACAUGGAGAUAUGGUUACAGGAAUUGCACAUAUUUAGCCUGUAGUUGCAGUCUUGAGGAGGAGGGAGAAAAAUUUGGAACAAAAAGUCUUCCAAAAAGGAAGGUUGAAAACUAUCCUUACAUGUAUUAGAAAAAUAAAAUACUAGUGAGCAAAAGUAUUUUCUGACUGAAUCUCGGUCAAGCUGGUUUCUGCUUUAAUUCUGGGUAUUUUAUUUUCUGCAUUGGAGCCAUUUGGAGGAGGGGCCCACAGCCUUCACCGAGGGGUCCAUGCUACAAAAAGCUAUUUCAGGCUCCUUCCCAGCUCUAAAUCUUCCAUCUCGUUUGGCCAUCGAAGCCCCACAGAUUCCUGCACCAAGUCGGUGCAAAGAUCAGACCAGGACUUUGGGACUCUGGGCUGGCUGGGGCUCUCUCCUCGGCCUCCUUCCCUUCCCCCAGACUUCUUGGCGGCUGGAACUGAAGUUCCAGGUGUAGACGAGACCGAGAGGAUGGCUCUAGAGCAACAGCGUCCGCAGAUGCCCCCGUGCCCCUUUGCGGUGGGGCGAGCACCCGUCCUGAGCGGCCGCUUCUCUGCAGGUCCAUCCGGACCCACAGGCAGAACCUCCCGGCCUAGGACUAUCAUGAGGAGGGUCUGUGUUUUCCCGGCAGGAGCUCUCCUCCUGAUGCAUUUGAUCUGGGAGUAGGAGUCUGCUCCCCAAAUGGCCAGCACAUGUCAAGUCUGGCCGUCCUCUGGGGUACAGGAAGGGGCCCCUCUGGAGUUAACCACAGCAAAGAGCGCCUCUUUUCAAGUGACUUUCAGAAGUUCCUUUGUCCUGCAGGAGACUUCCUGGGAGGGGUUCUGGGGCCGACGAUGGAGGAUGCCGCAGCAGCCAG